AAAUGUCAGAAGAUGGAAUAUCAUCAAAAGAUUUGCAUAAACAGCUUUCAACAAAAAAGGUGUUGCACAACUAGCUGAUCAGGAAGAGGAGGAGCAACUAUUUGUAGCAACCUAUUUUGCAACUAGCAACUCUAGUGACAAGUUGCUUCUUGAUAAUGGAUGCAUAAACUACAUGACAUUUGAUUAUGAUAUCUUUAGAGAGCUAGAUACUUCUUUAAAUUCUAAGGUACAAAUUGGC
rnacentral:lncRNA from 1 species